GAAAUUAAUUCCAUAUAUUGUUCAGUGGUUUUAUGAUUGUAUGUUUCCACCUAAAUACUUGGUACUUAGCAAUGCUAGGUUAUAUUGAACUGGUAGGGUGAACACCACUUGUUAUAGUUAAUUGUAAAGAUAAUAUUAGCUUCCAUGUCCCAUCCCUGAGACUUCUCAGGGUGGUUUUUAGCUUCUACCAUUGUUUGUAAGUUGCUUUUGAUUAAUAAAGGGGCGUGCCUUACAAAUAAUAGGAUAAUGGACAAGCUGGAGGGCUCAAUAUGAUAUAAUUGUCACACCCAAACAUGUUUUUAGUACAACCAAUUGCGCACAGGGUAAUAGGAUAAUAAAAUCAGAAGAGAGAGCAAUGAAAA
rnacentral:misc_RNA from 1 species